AGGAAAUAGAUACCCCGGUAGUCCCAGCUGUAAACGAUGCAGACUCGGUGAUGAAUUGGCUUAUUGCUAAAUUCAGUGCCGCAGGGAAGCCGUUAAGUUUGCCGCCUGGGGAGUACGGUACGCAAGAACUGAAACGUUAAAGGAAUUGGCGGGGGAGCACCACAAGGGGUGAAGCCUGCGGUUCAAUUGGAGUCAACGCCGGAAAUCUUACCGGGGUCGGACAGCAGAGUGAAGGUCAAGCUGAAGACUUUACCUAGACAAGCUGAGAGGAGGUGCAUGGCCGUCGCCAGCUCGUGCCGUGAGGUGUCCUGUUAAGUCAGUAACGAGCGAGAUCCCUGCCUCUAGUUGCUACCAUUAUUCUCAGGAGUAGUGGAGCUAACUUAGA
rnacentral:rRNA from 1 species